AGUUCAAAACUAUGGAUGCUGGCCAUGAAAGCCUUCGACUGUACAACAGAGGAUUACUUGGGACUCUCCUUGCCAAAUCAGGAUAAUUGGAGGGUACAGAACCAUACUUACUUGCCCCUUGCUGCUGUUUUUGUUUUUGUCGUGUGCCUUCAAAUGGUUUCUGACUUGUGAAAACCUUAAGUUCCCAGAGUGCAUCAGACACUGUUCUGCAAGGUCCCUUGGUGCUUGGGACACAUAUUUCUGGGUACAUAGUAGGCUGCAGCAAGGGAGGAAUGGAAGAAAAACCCUAUUCUAAGAGUUCUCUGCUGUGUUUGUAACACCACCUUGGCACAUGAGAAACAGGAAUAUCAAAGAAAUAAACCAUUAUCUUUAUAAAAGCUGCAUGAGAUCCACUAUGGGAACAGCUGCUUCUGCACAAACCUUCCCCACAGCAACCUGUAAACAUGUAGGAGUGGAACCAGCAGUUUCUCCAAUAUUAAUGUUCUUUGUAGCCCUGCAAAGACAACAUAAUAAAAUUCAAGUAUGAAAAGACUAAUAUAAAUAGAUAUUAUGCAGGACAGUGCCUCACAUUUGUAAACAUAAACUUUCUGUUUGGAUAACUGUGUAUCAGUUAUACUUCUAGUAUCACAUGAACACAAAGGGAGCGAGGAGGCAGAACAGAAUGCUUUGACUCCAAAUGAGAUGCCUGCUGUGCAGAACUAUGUUUCACCACUAUGUUGCUGUCCACUGCACAGAGAGAUAGCACUACUAUCUGUUUCCUCCUGAAGUGCAGUAUCUGAAACUGAAUCCUGCUAGGAAACACUUGGAUGGAAACAUCAUUGGAGCUAUCUUGUCAGAUCUUAUUCUUAAGUUUAUGUUAACUCAUCAAGAGAUUAGGCACCAUAAUUUAAAGUCAACAUACUAUAGACCAACAAUAAUUAAUUUUGAAAAGUGUGGGAUUGUUCUUUUGGUCAAGCAUGUCCCUUGGUGCAGCAACUGUCCAAUAUGUGCAGUUCUAAAUGCAGCUGAUAAUGCCAGUCAGCCAUGACAGUGCCAUACCUAACUGGGAAAACAAUCUUAGCUUGUCUCUUUUAAUUCUAUUUUCUUUUCAUAUUUGCAUGGCUGUGGAUUUCAAGCAACUGUACAGGAACUUCACCUGCCCCCAGUGCAAUAAACAAGACCCACAAAAAUACAAAUGAGUUGGAUAGCCUAU